UGUGUAGGCGGUUGUUUAAGUUUGGUGUGAAAUCUCCCGGCUCAACUGGGAGGGUGCGCCGAAUACUGAGCGACUCGAGUGCGGGAGAGGAGAGUGGAAUUCCUGGUGUAGCGGUGAAAUGCGUAGAUAUCAGGAGGAACACCGGUGGUGUAGACGGCUCUCUGGACCGUAACUGACGCUGAGACACGAAAGCGUGGGUAGCAAACAGGAUUAGAUACCCUGGUAGUCCACGCCCUAAACGAUGCAUAUUUGGUGUGGGCAGUUCAUUCUGUCCGUGCCGGAGCUAACGCGUUAAAUAUGCCGCCUGGGGAGUACAGUCGCAAGGCUGAA
rnacentral:rRNA from 1 species